CACAGAAGUACACGGCUGCCACCUGUCUUUUUUCUCUCCACCGAAAGUUCCCAAUAAACCCAAAAUUCAAAAUUUUGGAACCAGAAAUCAAGUAAAUUAAAUCAAAUGAGCGAAGAGUCAAAGAGAAGCGGCGGCGGAGACUGGCAUCCCAAGAAGACUGGAAGUCCUCAACUGGGUCUACCUCCAUCGGAAAGAAAGUCAUCAUAAAGAGCGUCGACAUUAAAGAGGACAUUCAGAAAGAAGUUGUUGACAUUGUCAUAAUUAUAAAUUGUUUUCAUUUCACUCAAAAUAAGAAAAAAAAUAAGCAAAGCUCACUAAUUUUUUCUCCUUGUUUUUGGGUGUUUUUUUAAUAUCUUGAUUUCCGUUUAUUGAAAAGCAUUGUUUUUGACAUAUAGUUUCACAUAUAUAAUUAUGUGUUUUUGCGUGUAGGCUUUUGAGAAGUAUAAUGUAGAGAAGGAUGUAGCAAAGCACAUAAAAAAAUGUUUGGCAAGAAGUAUGGACCUACUUGGCUACAUUGUGGGCAAGAACUUCAGUAAGAAUUAAUAUACUUGUACAAUGAUGGUUGACAAUGUUUGAUGCGUUAAAAUCGGUACAGUUGAUUUAAAAAGAUAGUUUUUGAAAUGGAUGAAUAUGAUAUGCCAAAUUAUGAUUGUCAACAAAUCUUCUUAACCAUCAUUGUCCUUGUAGCAUCUCUCUUAACAAUAAUUUAUUCUUGAGAAAUAAGUAUAUUGACUAAAGGAGCGAUCUUUGUUUUAUAUCUUUGUAUAUAUUCUGGUAUAUUAUGUUUUGUUAUCUUUUAUCUCUUAUAUAUUAAUUGUUGUUCAAUUACUUGUUUGCUUAGAGCAUGGAUCUAAUAAAUAACGAGUUAGAAGGUAGAAAAAAGUUAAUUUCAUACCAUUCCGGGGUAUUGGUAUCUUGAUAAGACCUGAACUUGUAUAGAAUGUUACUUGGUUGUAAUGAAUUCUAGCCUCAGCAUUAGAUUCAGAAAUGAUUUUGCCAAGGCUCCAAUUCCAUGCUGUCAGACAUCACAUAGCAUAAUUUUUGCA
rnacentral:lncRNA from 1 species